AAGCCCCGCAAGGGGCAAGUAGAGUGGCAAACGGGUGAGUAACACGUGGGUGACCUGCCUUCGAGCGGGGGAUAACGUCCCGAAAGGGACGCUAAUACCGCAUAACAUCCUGCCUUUGAAGAGGUGGAGAUCAAAGCCGGGGAUCGCAAGACCCGGCACUUGGAGAGGGGCCCGCGCCUGAUUAGCUAGUUGGUGGGGUAAUGGCCUACCAAGGCAACGAUCAGUAUCCGGCCUGAGAGGGCGGACGGACACACUGGGACUGAGACACGGCCCAGACUCCUACGGGAGGCAGCAGUGGGGAAUUGUUCGCAAUGGGCGCAAGCCUGACGACGCAACGCCGCGUGGAGGAUGAAGAUUUUCGGA
rnacentral:rRNA from 1 species